rnacentral:rRNA from 1 species
UACGUAGGGGGCAAGCGUUGUCCGGAUUUACUGGGCGUAAAGCGCGCGUAGGCGGAAGCUCAAGUCUGGCCUGAAAGCCCCCGGCUCAACCGGGGAGUGGGGCUGGAAACUGGGUUUCUUGAGGGCGAUAGAGGAGUGUGGAAUUCCUGGUGUAGCGGUGAAAUGCGUAGAGAUCAGGAGGAACACCGGUGGCGAAGGCGGCGUCCUGGACCAACACUGACACUGAAAAGCGAAAGCCAGGGGAGCAAACGGG